GCGCAGCAGGCGAGAAUACUGUGCAAUGCGCGAAAGCGCGACACGGGGAGCUUGAGUGUUUUGGCAUAGCCAAGACUUUUCUCAUUCCUAAAAAGCAUGAGGAAUAAGUGCUGGGUAAGACGGGUGCCAGCCGCCGCGGUAACACCCGCAGCACAAGUGGUGGUCACUUUUAUUGAGCCUAAAGCGUUCGUAGCCGGUUUUGUAAAUCUUUAGAUAAAGCCUGAAGCUUAACUCCAGAAAGUCUAAAGAGACUGCAAGACUUGAGAUCGGGUGAGGUUAAACGUACUUUCAGGGUAGGGGUAAAAUCCUGUAAUCCCGGAAGGACGACCAGUGGCGAAAGCGUUUAACUAGAACGAAUCUGACGGUAAGGAACGAAGGCUAGGGUAGCAAACCGGAUUAGAUACCCGUGUAGUCC
rnacentral:rRNA from 1 species